AGCCACCAGCAUCUGGCAGGCUGUGUUCUUUUAGUGACUAUAUAGAAAGAGGAGGCAAAGUAAACCUACCCCCAUAUAACCUCAGCCCAGGCCCAUGGGGAAAAAAAA
rnacentral:snoRNA from 1 species